rnacentral:rRNA from 1 species
GACGAACGCUGGCGGCGUGCUUAACACAUGCAAGUCGAACGGAAAGGCCCUGCUUUUGUGGGGUGCUCGAGUGGCGAACGGGUGAGUAACACGUGAGUAACCUGCCCUUGACUUUGGGAUAACUUCAGGAAACUGGGGCUAAUACCGGAUAGGAGCUCCUGCUGCAUGGUGGGGGUUGGAAAGUUUCGGCGGUUGGGGAUGGACUCGCGGCUUAUCAGGUUGUUGGUGGGGUAGUGGCUUACCAAGGCUUUGACGGGUAGCCGGCCUGAGAGGGUGACCGGCCACAUUGGGACUGAGAUACGGCCCAGACUCCUACGGGAGGCAGCAGUGGAGAAUAUUGCACAAUGGGCGGAAGCCUGAUGCAGCAACGCCGCGUGCGGGAUGACGGCCUUCGGGUUGUAAACCGCUUUCGCCUGUGACGAAGCGUGAGUGACGGUAAUGGGUAAAGAAGCACCGGCUAACUACGUG